rnacentral:lncRNA from 1 species
CACAUCGGCGACUACAUCCCGUUUCUCAAGUGGUUCGACUCGAGCGUCGCCAAGAUGAAAGCCCUGCACAAGAUCCAGGACGAGUUCCUGCAAAAAGUGGUCGAUCAGCACGUCCUUGCGAGGCAAAGCAGAGAACAAACUCAAGCUCACGAUGGAGAUGGAGAUUUCGUCGACACACUCUUGUCUCUAGACUCUCCAGAUCCAAACAAUCAAGCUAGAAACAUCAAGGCACUCAUCCAGGUACUCUAAAAGAAGAAAGAAAGAAAAAAUCCAUACCUCAGAAGUUCGUCCAUGUUGUGUUCUUACUAUUUCUUCUCGUCUAGAAUCUCUUGGGAGCUGGAACAGACACCUCCAUUACCACGAUCCAAUGGGCAAUGGCGGAGCUGCUAAACAAUCCCAGAGCCCUGGAGAAAGCACAGGAAGAAUUACGCGCGAAAUUCGGCAAUGCCCGCCAAGAAAUCAUCCAAGAACACGAGCUACAAGAUCUACCAUACCUCCACGCAGUGAUCAAGGAGACCUUCCGCCUCCAUCCGCCAGCGCCGCUCCUCAUCCCCCACCAAUCCACCCAAGAC